UUAAGCGACUAAGCGUACACGGUGGAUGCCCUGGCAGUCAGAGGCGAUGAAGGACGUGCUAAUCUGCGAAAAGCGUCGGUAAGGUGAUAUGAACCGUUAUAGCCGGCGAUGUCCGAAUGGGGAAACCCAGUGUGAUUCGUCACACUAUCGUUAACUGAAUACAUAGGUUAACGAGGCGAACCGGGGGAACUGAAACAUCUAAGUACCCCGAGGAAAAGAAAUCAACCGAGAUUCCCCCAGUAGCGGCGAGCGAACGGGGAGCAGCCCAGAGUCUGAAUCAGCUUGUGUGUUAGUGGAACGGUCUGGAAAGUCCGACGGUACAGGGUGAUAGUCCCGUACACCAAAAUGCACAGGCUGUGAACUCGAAGAGUAGGGCGGGACACGUGGUAUCCUGUCUGAAUAUGGGGGGACCAUCCUCCAAGGCUAAAUACUCCUGACUGACCGAUAGUGAACCAGUACCGUGAGGGAAAGGCGAAAAGAACCCCGGCGAGGGGAGUGAAAAAGAACCUGAAACCGUGUACGUACAAGCAGUGGGAGCACCUUCGGGUGUGACUGCGUACCUUUUGUAUAAUGGGUCAGCGACUUAUAUUCUGUAGCAAGGUUAACCGUAUAGGGGAGCCGCAGGGAAACCGAGUCUUAACUGGGCGUUAAGUUGCAGGGUAUAGACCCGAAACCCGGUGAUCUAGCCAUGGGCAGGUUGAAGGUUGGGUAACACUAACUGGAGGACCGAACCGACUAAUGUUGAAAAAUUAGCGGAUGACUUGUGGCUGGGGGUGAAAGGCCAAUCAAACCGGGAGAUAGCUGGUUCUCCCCGAAAGCUAUUUAGGUAGCGCCUCGUGAACUCAUCUUCGGGGGUAGAGCACUGUUUCGGCUAGGGGGUCAUCCCGACUUACCAACCCGAUGCAAACUACGAAUACCGAAGAAUGUUAUCACGGGAGACACACGGCGGGUGCUAACGUCCGUCGUGAAGAGGGAAACAACCCAGACCGCCAGCUAAGGUCCCAAAGUCAUGGUUAAGUGGGAAACGAUGUGGGAAGGCACAGACAGCCAGGAUGUUGGCUUAGAAGCAGCCAUCAUUUAAAGAAAGCGUAAUAGCUCACUGGUCGAGUCGGCCUGCGCGGAAGAUGUAACGGGGCUAAACCAUGCACCGAAGCUGCGGCAGCGACACUAUGUGUUGUUGGGUAGGGGAGCGUUCUGUAAGCCUGCGAAGGUGACCUGUGAGGGUUGCUGGAGGUAUCAGAAGUGCGAAUGCUGACAUAAGUAACGAUAAAGCGGGUGAAAAGCCCGCUCGCCGGAAGACCAAGGGUUCCUGUCCAACGUUAAUCGGGGCAGGGUGAGUCGACCCCUAAGGCGAGGCCGAAAGGCGUAGUCGAUGGGAAACAGGUUAAUAUUCCUGUACUUGGUGUUACUGCGAAGGGGGGACGGAGAAGGCUAUGUUAGCCGGGCGACGGUUGUCCCGGUUUAAGCAUGUAGGCUGGUUAUCCAGGCAAAUCCGGAUAAUCAAGGCUGAGGUGUGAUGACGAGGCACUACGGUGCUGAAGUAACAAAUGCCCUGCUUCCAGGAAAAGCCUCUAAGCAUCAGGUAACAUUAAAUCGUACCCCAAACCGACACAGGUGGUCAGGUAGAGAAUACCAAGGCGCUUGAGAGAACUCGGGUGAAGGAACUAGGCAAAAUGGUGCCGUAACUUCGGGAGAAGGCACGCUGGUGUGUAGGUGAAGUCCCUGCGGAUGGAGCUGAGACCAGUCGAAGAUACCAGCUGGCUGCAACUGUUUAUUAAAAACACAGCACUGUGCAAACACGAAAGUGGACGUAUACGGUGUGACGCCUGCCCGGUGCCGGAAGGUUAAUUGAUGGGGUUAUCCGUAAGGAGAAGCUCUUGAUCGAAGCCCCGGUAAACGGCGGCCGUAACUAUAACGGUCCUAAGGUAGCGAAAUUCCUUGUCGGGUAAGUUCCGACCUGCACGAAUGGCGUAAUGAUGGCCAGGCUGUCUCCACCCGAGACUCAGUGAAAUUGAACUCGCUGUGAAGAUGCAGUGUACCCGCGGCAAGACGGAAAGACCCCGUGAACCUUUACUAUAGCUUGACACUGAACAUUGAGCCUUGAUGUGUAGGAUAGGUGGGAGGCUUUGAAGCGUGGACGCCAGUCUGCGUGGAGCCAACCUUGAAAUACCACCCUUUAAUGUUUGAUGUUCUAACGUUGGCCCCUUACCGGGGUUGCGGACAGUGUCUGGUGGGUAGUUUGACUGGGGCGGUCUCCUCCCAAAGCGUAACGGAGGAGCACGAAGGUUAGCUAAUCCUGGUCGGACAUCAGGAGGUUAGUGCAAUGGCAUAAGCUAGCUUGACUGCGAGCGUGACGGCGCGAGCAGGUGCGAAAGCAGGUCAUAGUGAUCCGGUGGUUCUGAAUGGAAGGGCCAUCGCUCAACGGAUAAAAGGUACUCCGGGGAUAACAGGCUGAUACCGCCCAAGAGUUCAUAUCGACGGCGGUGUUUGGCACCUCGAUGUCGGCUCAUCACAUCCUGGGGCUGAAGUAGGUCCCAAGGGUAUGGCUGUUCGCCAUUUAAAGUGGUACGCGAGCUGGGUUUAGAACGUCGUGAGACAGUUCGGUCCCUAUCUGCCGUGGGCGCUGGAGAAUUGAGGGGGGCUGCUCCUAGUACGAGAGGACCGGAGUGGACGCAUCACUGGUGUUCGGGUUGUCAUGCCAAUGGCACUGCCCGGUAGCUAAAUGCGGAAGAGAUAAGUGCUGAAAGCAUCUAAGCACGAAACUUGCCCCGAGAUGAGUUCUCCCUGAGACUAUAAGUCUCCUGAAGGAACGUUAAAGACGAUGACGUUGAUAGGCCGGGUGUGUAAGCGCAGCGAUGCGUUGAGCUAACCGGUACUAAUGAACCGUGAGGCUUAACCUU
rnacentral:rRNA from 1 species